rnacentral:rRNA from 1 species
CAGUGACGGUUAACGGGGGAUUAGGGUUCGAUUCCGGAGAGGGAGCCUGAGAAACGGCUACCACAUCUAAGGAAGGCAGCAGGCGCGCAAAUUACCCAAUUCUAACAGCAUAAGAGAGGUAGUGACAAGAAAUAACAAUACAAGGUAAUUAAAUUGCUUUGUAAUUGGAAUGAUAGAAAUUUAAACACUUUUUAAAGUAUCAAUUGGAGGGCAAGUCUGGUGCCAGCAGCCGCGGUAAUUCCAGCUCCAAUAGCGUAUAUUAAAAUUGUUGCAGUUAAAAAGCUCGUAGUUGAAUUUCUGUUAAAAAUAACCGGUCUGCUUUUAUUAAAAGUGGUAUCUUGGUGUGUUUUUAGCAAUAAUGUCCUUUGAAAUGUUUUUUACUUUAUUGUAAUAAGUCAUUAUUUUGAGGAUUUUUACUUUGAGAAAAUUAGAGUGUUUCUAGCAGGCUUACGCUUUUGAAUACUGCAGCAUGGAAUAAUAAGAUAGGAUUUUAGUUCUACAUUAUUGGUUUUAAGAACUAAAUUAAUGAUUGAUAGGGAUAGUUGGGGGC